GACGAACGCUGGCGGCGUGCUUAACACAUGCAAGUCGAACGGAAAGGCCCUGCUUUUGUGGGGUGCUCGAGUGGCGAACGGGUGAGUAACACGUGAGUAACCUGCCCUUGACUUUGGGAUAACUUCAGGAAACUGGGGCUAAUACCGGAUAGGAGCUCCUGCUGCAUGUUGGGGGUUGGAAAGUUUCGGCGGUUGGGGAUGGACUCGCGGCUUAUCAGCUUGUUGGUGGGGUAGUGGCUUACCAAGGCUUUGACGGGUAGCCGGCCUGAGAGGGUGACCGGCCACAUUGGGACUGAGAUACGGCCCAGACUCCUACGGGGGGCAACAGUGGGGAAUAAUGCACAAUGGGCGGAAGCCUGAUGCAGCAACACCGCGUGAGGGAUGACGGCCUUCGGGUUGUAAACCGCUUUCGCCUGUGACGAAGCGUGAGUGACGGUAAUGGGUAAAGAAGCACCGGCUAACUACGUG
rnacentral:rRNA from 1 species